AUAUUUUUAGUUUAUUUAAAACACUACAUUUUCAUUGUAAAAAUUUUGUUUAACAAAAAAAUA
rnacentral:tRNA from 1 species